GUCCUCGCUUCGGCAGCACAUACACUAAAAUUGGAACGAUACAGAGAUCGGCACGGCCCCUGCGCAAGGAUGACACGCAAAUUCGUGAAACAUUCUAUAUUAAA
ensembl:snRNA U6 U6 spliceosomal RNA